GAUGAAGAACGUAGCGAAAUGCGAAAAGUAGUGUGAAUUGCAGAAUUCAGUGAAUCAUCGAAUCUUUGAACGCACAUUGCGCCCCUUGGUAUUCCAUGGGGCAUGCCUGUUCGAGCGUCAUUUGUACCUUCAAGCUCUGCUUGGUGUUGGGUGUUUGUCUCGCCUCUGCGUGUAGACUCGCCUCAAAACAAUUGGCAGCCGGCGUAUUGAUUUCGGAGCGCAGUACAUCUCGCGCUUUGCACUCAUAACGACGACGUCCAAAAGUACAUUUUUACACUCUUGACCUCGGAUCAGGUAGGGAUACCCGCUGAACUUAAGCAUAUCAAUAAGCGGAGGA
rnacentral:misc_RNA from 1 species